rnacentral:misc_RNA from 1 species
GUGGCCGCCUGACUGUGACUGUACUGUACUAUGGCGCAACACUUUAAAGUAGUGAGCCCUUGUCAUCGGAAAGUGGAAAUUGUAUCAUCCACUUUUGAGGAAUUUUUGACGAAGUGUAGAACUAAAUUCAAAUUUAAGCAUGCUGAUUGGCUAUCGGACCAGCAAAGCACAGAACGUCACUAAACCAAUCACAGACCACCACUGGUUUCCUUCACCACAUCAAUCGGGUAUAAAAGCCACGUGCCAGCAGUCAAUUUAUGCUCUUCCUCUCCACCGAUACAAAAAAUAAGACCUUUCCCCGAGCAUCAGUAGCAGUCUCCAUCAUGCUAUUCUGGACUUAACUGCAGCUUCCAGCACUCCACUGAUUAUUCUAUAGAAUAAACUUUAAUUUUG